rnacentral:rRNA from 1 species
ACGGCUCAGNUAACACGUGGACAACCUGCCCUUAGGACGGGGAUAAACCCGGGAAACUGGGUAUAAUACCCGAUAGGUCUCGAUUGCUGGAAUGCAUCGAGAUUUAAAGCUCCGGCGCCUAAGGAUGGGUCUGCGGCCUAUCAGGUAGUAGUGGGUGUAGCGUACCUACUAGCCUACGACGGGUACGGGUUGUGAGAGCAAGAGCCCGGAGAUGGAUUCUGAGACACGAAUCCAGGCCCUACGGGGUGCAGCAGGCGCGAAAACUUUACAAUGCUGGCAACAGCGAUAAGGGAACCUCGAGUGCCAGGUUACAAAUCUGGCUGUCGAGAUGCCUAAAAAGCAUUUCAUAGCAAGGGCCGGGCAAGACCGGUGCCAGCAGCCGC